GUCCACGCCGUAAACGAUGCCGACUCGGUAUCCGGUGGCGAUUACGCCGUUGGGUGCCCUAGCUUACGCGAUAAGUCGGCCGCCUGGUGACUACGAGCGCAAGCUUAAAACUCAAAGGAAUUGACGGGGGCCCGCACAAGCAGCGGAGCGUGUGGUUUAAUUCGACGCAACGCGCAGAACCUUACCUAGCCUUGACAUGUGCCUGCAAGCCCCGUGAAAGCGGGUCGCCUGCGAGGGUGGCACACCGGUGCUGCAUGGCUGUCGU
rnacentral:rRNA from 1 species